ACGCAGCGCUCUGUGUCUAGCUAGAGGUUUGUAAACACACCAAUCAGCACUCUGUCAAAACGCACCAAUCAGCUCUCUGUAAAAUGGACCAGUCAGCUCUCUGUAACAUGGACAAUCAGCAGGAUGUGGGUGGGGCCAGAUAAGGGAAGCAGGCCUCCAAAGCCAGCAAUGGCAACCCACUUGGGUCCCUUUCAAUGCUGUGGAAGCGUUGUUCUUUCACUCUUCUCAAUAAAUCUUGCUGCUGCUCACUCUUUGGGUCUGCCCCGCUGUUAUGAGCGGUAACACUCACAGCCAGGGUCUGCAGUUUCAUUCCUGAAGCCAGCAAGACCACAAACCCACAGGGCGGGACAAACAACUCCGGACGGGAGGAAUGAACAACUCUGGACGCGCCACUUCUGUGAACUUUUAUGAACUCUAACACUCACCGCAAAGGUCUGCAGCUUCACCCCUGAGGCCAGGGAGACCACGAACCCACCGGAAGGAAUGAACAACUCCAGACGCACUGCCUUUAAGAGCUGUAACACUUACCACGGCUGUCUGCAGCUUCACUCCUGAAGUCAGCGAGACCACAAACCCAACAGAAGGAAGAAACUCCCGACACAUCUGAACAUCUGAAGGAACAAACUCUGGACACACCAUCUUUAAGAACUGUAACACUCACCGUGAGGGUCCACCGCUUCAUUCUUGAAGUCAGCCAGACCAAGAACCCACCAAUUCCGGCUAGAGUGCAGCGUCGUGAUCAAGGCUCACUGCAGCCUCAACAUCCUGAUCCCCAGUGUUCCUCCCACCUCAGCCUCCCAAGUAGCUGGGACCACAGUCUGUCUGAAUCAUGUUAUUGGACCAUGAGAGCAAGCAGCUGGAUCUCAUUCUGUCCAGGACUCCUGGAAACAGCAGCUCUAACAAAAUUGUCUUCAAUAAAUAAGUUUUUUUGCAUCACAUUUGUGUAUGUCCUGAAUGUUCUGAGCCCUUCAGAUUUGACUCAUAUUCGUGCUAAAAUAAAAAAUGCAAAUGAAAAUUGUAUAGCUAAUUACGAGAAAAAUAAAGCAUCAUAAGAAAACCGGUAAACUAUAUUUUUAACAAACAAAAAUGUAGAACAUACUUACCUAUACUUUUAGUUUAAGGGGAAAUAUUCUUUCAUUAUAUAGGUUUAUGAAAUACAAUAUUAAGAAUGGUAAAGAUUAUUAUUUUACUGACUUUAACUACAAAAAUGCCUUUGAGAAAAUGUUUUCUUCCCUGGAUCUUGACCUAAUUGGAUAAUUUUAUGUGAGCUAAUAUUUCCGGUCUGAUAAGACUUUCAAGGGAGCCAAUUAUGUGCUUUUAUCCCAUCAAUAUUGCAGUAUUACAGGUUUUUCUGUGGCCUUUUGUACCAUUUUUUUUUGUUGUUGUAAAUAUUAAGUUUUGCUCUUUGGGAGAAAACAUUUCUUCCUUGACUGUUAUUGCUGCUGAUAGCUAGAAAGGAUUACCAGUAGAACCCCUUCUUUAAAGAAAAAGAAAAAGAUUGGGCUAUAAAUGAUUGUUUUUUAUUUCAAAAUCCAUCAAACUGAGUUUAACUAACACUAGAGCAUUGCAGGUAGCUUACUACAGAAAUAGUUUUUUUUAAUUUCUUAUCACAAAUAAAAACGUCUGCAAAUCAUUACUAUAAGUGUUAAAUAGAGAUGCUAGUUGAUAAGGAAACCACUACUAAGCUUGCUCUGGUUUGUAUGGUAGUGUGUCUGAUGAAAACAGAACAAAUAACUAUCUGAGAAAAUUCUAUCUUCAGGAUAAUCCUUGAGAAUACUCAAAGUACCAGCAAAAUUGUAAGACUACUGUCCAAAAUAAGGUUCAGAAUGAGCUUUCUGUGCUCACAUUUCAUUCUCAAUGGGACCUGGCUUCCUGGGGUUGAAAUGCAGAUCUGGCUUCUAUUAAGGAUGAGAUAUACAAAAUCUUUGCAUUCAUUCAGAUUUUUUGCAAAUAAAAUAAUUGGAAUUUUGACUAGGCAAAAAUAAGAAGUCUCCAUGUUUAGGUUAUUGGGCAUUGUUUCAAAAUCUUAAAAAAAAAAAUUAAACUUUUUUUUCUCCCAUCGAAGGUUUUGGGUUGAGACUUUCAUAUGCACUUUAAAAAUGUUAUUUAAUAGAGUUGAUUUUUUAAAGAUGUAAAAAGAAACAAUUUUAAGACAAAAAGUGUUUUUUUAAUAUAAGAUUGUAACUACUAGUUUUUGAAGAAAAAAAUUAUAGCAACAGUUGCAAAUUAAUUUUUUUUAUGUAGGAACUUGAACAAUGUUUAGAGAAAUACAGCAACAAAUCUCACAUAAUUGUUAAGCGUUUCAUGAAAGAAUCUUGGCCUGACAAAUAAAUGCAUAAAAAAGUGAUCUUACAUUGCAACUGUUUGAAUUGUUUUGAAAUUGUCACUAUAUUAGAUUUACCGUCUAUCAUGACUUAUGGUGCCUUUCAAAAGAAACCAAAGGAUAUAAUAUUGACUAACAGAAAUCCAAAGUGGAGGUUGUUUUUAUACUGUUAAAUACAAGGGUUAAAGUGUCCUGGAGACUUUUACGUACCUAGAUUUAACAUUUUCAUAUUCUUGGUAAUUAUCUAGUAAGAUUAUAGUUGAUUUUUUAAUAUUCUUCAAAAUAUUCAUGUACUUUUUUGUUAAAUAAAUUUGACUUCUUUCUC